rnacentral:rRNA from 1 species
UACAGAGACUGCAAGCGUUAUUCGGAUUCACUGGGCGUAAAGCGCGCGUAGGCGGCUUUGUAAGUUAGAGGUGAAAGCCCGGGGCUCAACCCCGGAACUGCCCUUAAGACUGCAUCGCUUGAAUCCGGGAGAGGUGAGUGGAAUUCCGAGUGUAGAGGUGAAAUUCGUAGAUAUUCGGAAGAACACCAGUGGCGAAGGCGGCUCACUGGACCGGUAUUGACGCUGAUGUGCGAAAGCGUGGGGAGCAAACAGG